GUUGAAACUAUUACUAAGCUGUUAUUGAACUCAUACAUGUAGUGAUUCUAAUAAUACAGAUACUCCAGAUAUUUAAAUCAGGUAUUACAAUAGUUUUUAAAUUCAUUCAGAUACUUAAACCAAAAUCCAAAACAACAGCGUCAUGAUGAAAGUUAAUCUGGAACUUAACAUCACCACUAACUUGAACCAAUUCCGUGAAAAUCCAACAAAGAAUGUUACUCAUCCAAAUUAAACCCCCAAUCUAAUAGUCCACACCCCCAAAUACUUGAUAGGAAGAGCUUAACCAAGCUAAAACCCACAUGACAAGCUAAAGUUCAAAUACAAACCUAAAAUGUACUGUCAAUAGCAUGACUGAAUAUAGUCAAAUCAUAUACAAAGCCAAUUCAAUAAGGAACAUGGAUAGUCCUUGAGGAACAUGGACUAAUAUCCAACAAACUAAUAUUCAUCCACAAAUUUUCAACUCAAUUACAUAGCUUCAAAUUUUGAACUUCACAUAUCACUCAAAGAACCAAGGAAUGCCUGGAUAUCAAAAUAAACAACAUAAGGUAAGGAUUUCAGCAACAGCAGUGAGUUAGCACAACAAUGUUCAAAUCUUUUAAACCAAUUUUACCCUAGAUGCAUAGAAAUUCCUUGAAGUUUUUAAAUUUUGACACAAUGAAUACCAAAGAACAAAACCAAAACCAAUUUCAACCAAAAAAAAUGCAGGAGCUUUUUAGUAUUUUUUUAUGGUUUGAGUGACACUUUCAGAAGCUUAGUGCCGAAAAAUGAAGGUGAAAACCUCCUCCUAUAUAGGCCUCUAAGGCCAUGUGCCUAAAAAAAUGAGAAUAUUUUCAGCCUGUAAAAGACAUCUUUUGUAACUAAUUGGGACAAGUGGCAUCCUUUAAUUGGGUCCAGCUACUUGUGCUAACCAAAUAAGGCCAGUUGCCCCUAUUCUAGAAGCAUCCCUCACAAAAAUCUGAUUUUCUAAUCCUUAAAUUAUCUCCCAAGUUUCCAUAAUUCAACCAAAAACACCAAUAGUUUCUAACCGUCACUAACUAGACAAACAUGAAAUGGGAAAUUAUCAAUCAAAUCUAACCUUGGCCAUGUGGCAGUGGAAACAUCAAAAUAAAGGAAAACUUAGAAAUAUAAAACAUGUAAUUAGCCUCAGAAUCAAAAGAAAUAACAACAAAGAACAUAGAAGGGAGCCGAAUCAUGUUAAAUUGGUCAAACAAUUAAGAAUCCUAUUUAACUUAGGCAAAAAAAUUUCAACAAAUAAACUCCACUAAUUUGAACAAAUAUGUAAUAACGACUAAUUGACCAUAUAAUUAAUCAAACGGAUUCAGAAAAACAUAUAAUCAAAAUUAAGAGAAAAUUUUAAAUAAGCGAAGGAAUCAAAAAGAAGACUUAAGAAAGAAAAGGCCUAACUGGAAGAGUCAAUGACUGAGUAACAGGAGAAAAUGAACUUGGCUAAGCAUGGCGGCUUGGUCAAGACAGCAACCUUCGAAAUGAAUCAAAACUAACAUUAGGCGAUAGUUCUUAGCAAGAACGAUAGCUUAAUGCUAGCCUUGAGUCAAAUCUAGUCCUUAGAAGGCAGAGAAUCGGAUCUAGGGUGAUUUAGGGUUUUCAUAGAUCCGGUCUUCAGGGAAUUUGAUGGAUUUUUUGGUAGGAUGGUUGAUAGAUUAACAUAAAAGGGAAGUUUGGGGGUGUAGAAGGCGGGUUUGAUGGUGAUUUGUGGUGGUUUGGGGCUUAGCCGCCAUCAGAAAGGGCUGAGGGAUUCGGGGCGGCUAGGUUAGUGGUUUUUUUUGUGUUAGUUUUAGUUAUGAUAUUCGAAUACUUGGGCGAGGAUUUGAGGGAAUCGAUUUGGGUAUUUGAAAAGAGGGGGUGAUGGGGAAUUUAAUAUGUUAAGUUGGUGAAGAUUGGGCCAUUGAAACCGCCGUGAGGCGAUUUCUGGUAGGCGGAGUACGGCGGAGGAGGUGGGAAUUCGAGAGCGGCGCCUCUAGGGUUCAAGAGAGACGGGAUGUGGGAAAUGAUAUGGGGGAGGGGAAGGUUCAUUCCGACAAUUAAAUACCCAGGGGAGGUCGAAUUCCGGUCCAUUGGAUCAAUGUGAUUUAACGGUUGAGAGAGGCUAGGGGAAAAACUAUGUCGUACUGAUCCAGGUGAGGAUUUGGACAGGGGCGAUUUGGGCCUGGUUUGGGAUGAGUUAUGGGGUUGGAAUAGGCGGGUGUAAGGAAGAUCACUUGGGCUGGGCGGAAUCUUAUAAGACCUGACCCAAAAGUCAAUUUUCUUCCACUUCUUUUUUUUCUUUCUUUUCAAUUUUAUUUAUUCCAAUUUUCUUUUCUUCUUCUUCUUUUUUUUUUUCUCAAAAUUGAAAGUAAAAUUCUAAACUAAAUCACAAAACGAAAUUAGCCUAUCAAAACGCUAAUUAAUCCUUAAAAAAUAAUUGUCACAAUUAUAUAUCCAACAAAUUAAAGGAAAACUACCCAAAAUCGAAGUUAAAAUAAAAAAUGCAAACUAAACAAUUUUUUGUGAUUUUUCUUUUUUAUAAAAUAAUUAAUUUACUACUUAACUUAAGAAUUAUAAAUUAAAUCCUACAUGCAAAUGCAACAUUUCUUUGUAUUUUUGCUAAUUAAACAAAAAUAAAAAUGCACAGACAACAGAAAAUGCUGCCAUAAUUCACAAAAUUAUAAAUAAUAAAAAAAAUUAUUUUGUUUUUAAGUUACGGAAAGAAUUUUUUUACCGAGCAAAAUUCAUAAUUUUGCACUUUUUUUAACGACACAUAGUCGGGGCGUAAUCUGAUAAUAUUAGGCAUAUUUUUCUUUUUUUUGAUAACCAAUAUUGGUCAAAUUUCUCUUAUUCUUUGCAUGACCUGCAUACAGAAAACAGAUUAAGGAAUGAAAAAAUGGAACAACGAAAAUGAUGUGUUAUGUUCAUGCUAACAGUCGGCCAAAAUCGUCUCAAAGGAUGUAGAACCUAAGUCAUUUGAGGUGCCUGAUGUAGAACCUGGUGCAAUGCGUAUAGAUUAAAAAUGUUAAUGAUCAAGGAUGACGGGAUUACCUUUUUCAAAACAUAAAAAAGGCAAACCACAUUUUCUCCUUGUGAAGCACAUCAGGUGGCGUAAAAACUUCACAUUCAGCGACUCCUGCAGGAAAGAAUUGUUAAUAAACGUAAGCAUCACAUGGGCAUCAUUGUUUUGCGAUAUAUAUAUAUAUACACACACACCCCUUGUAUUACAGAUGUGCUUUAAUAAAUUUAAUAUUCUAACAUAUUUUUUACAUAGAACAAGAGGCUCCAAUAACAAACUUACCUUGUAUUACAGAUGCUAGUUCAACAGCAUUGAAAGAAGUUUUACUUGCAAGAAGACGAUUAGUUGUUGUCUCUCUUUUUUAAGCCGUCGUUGCAAUAGGAGCGCAUUCUUUUCAGCCAUGGAC
rnacentral:lncRNA from 1 species